UACGUAGGUGGCAAGCGUUGUCCGGAUUUACUGGGCGUAAAGAGCGCGCAGGCAGUCGUUCAAGUCGCGUGUGAAAGCCCCCGGCUCAACUGGGGGGGGUCACGCGAUACUGAUCGACUCGAAGGCAGGAGAGGGUAGUGGAAUUCCCGGUGUAGUGGUGAAAUGCGUAGAUAUCGGGAGGAACACCAGUGGCGAAGGCGACUACCUGGCCUGUUCUUGACGCUGAGGCGCGAAAGCUAGGGGAGCAAACGGG
rnacentral:rRNA from 1 species